GCGCUCUUAGUUCAGUUCGGUAGAACGAGGGUCUCCAAAACCCGAUGUCGUAGGUUCAAAUCCAAUCGCAGUUGUGGA